CAACCGCAAACAAAACACACAACAUAUAUUCUGCAAUUCACACAACAAGAUAUUUGUAUUUUAAAACUGGUACCUCCAUACAAUAAACUAUAUUUAGCAUCAAUGUUUUUUAAGUACAAAAAAUGUCACGUCUCUUCACUCUUCACAUUAGCAUCAACAAUGGGAUCUGUGGAAAUUUUAAAUUAAUACUAUUAAAUUCAAUAUGCUUUUGUCCAAUGCAGAAAUCACUUCAGAAAACAGGCUGGGUGAACUUAAUAAGUUUUAAACUGUUCAUAUUGAUCCAGUGUUACUACAGGAGGAAACCUAAACUAAACUAACUUUAUUUAUACUGGAUAGCUCUAUCAGUUCUAAACUGUUCUUCCUAGAGGUCCAGUAAGGAUCAUCUCUUAUUGAUCCAGUGUUACUACAGGAGGAAACCUAAACUAAACUAACUUUAUUUAUACUGGAUAGCUCUAUCAGUUCUAAACUGUUCU